AUGGCAAUAGCAGAUGAACUAAAAAAUAAGGACAUGAUACAUAAUGAAAAAUAUUCAGAGAUCAGAGAAGAACAAACCAGCCAGGGCAAAAUGAGAAAGCUCUUUGAAGCGCUUAAUGAAAAAAUGACUUUUUAUUAUGCUCUGAGAAAUCAUGAACCAUACCUCUUCAGAGAACUGGGUGGUGUGGCAAUGGAUUACAUCGAUGGCAACCAGAACAACCAGCUACAGUUAAACUGAAUAACCCCUGCAACCAAGACACGCAAACAGAUGUCACUUGGAAAAUAAGACGCAGCUGAAGAUAAAGUUCAUGCUAAUUAAAAUUGUCAUCAGUGAUUCUCCCUAAUGUCACUGAAAACCCACCUUUUCCCAUAAUUUUUUAACUUUGUGUUCCAUAUGAAUAUAGGUUUUCCUUGUGUAGAACAUUUGUAACAUUUUUAUGCAUUUUUUUAAAGAUUAAAUUACAAUAGUGUAUACAUCAUCAUCCAUAGUAAUUUAGCCAAGUCGUUAUAUUAUAAAAGAUUUUGAAAAAGAAAGUAAAUAUUUUAUUGCAUUGCUUGCAAACAUCUUGAUAAUCUGUUACACUGUAGUUUUUUUCCAAACACAGGUGUUGAACUUGUGUUAUAUGUACACCUACUUUUUAAAAAAAUUUGUACACCCACUUUUUAACACAUUUACAAUUAAACUUAAAUCAAUGAAAAUCAUCCACUGACUUGCAUCAGUGAUGUCAUAAUUCUUGUGAAUUGUCAUAUACUUGCUUUUAUGUAAUUUAGAGCUGCAUUUGUAAUGUUGAAUGCGUUUAUACUGUUCAUUUUCUUUCACACCACAUUCAAAUAACGUGCUUCUCUUUUCACUGGAUUCCCUUCUCAUUGAUAAUUUGAUAGCUUUGUGAAUUGGUUUACACAGUUUAUUUUUAAUUUUGUAAUUGGCAUUAAAUCUUUUACCUGGCAAAUAAUUUAAUUUGAUUAUUCUGGAUACUGAUAUGUCAAAGGAUUGCAAGGUGUCUGAUGUUACUGUACUUCAGAUCUAUCCCCAAGGUAUGAGCAUGAGCUCAUGAUUUGAAGGAAAAAACACUUCAGAGAGGACUUUUCCAUUACUCUGGAACCGCAUACUAGCAUAGCCUACACUCUUACUAUAGAAUAUCUUUCUAUGGCAGGAAUGAUAAGAGAAGUAUUUGUGUGGAUUUGAAUUCUGCAUCUGUCUUCUCACUUGAAUGGAUGUAGCUAAGUAGAACUAGCUUCAG
ensembl:lncRNA